UUAAGACUGUCCUAGCUAUUUUCCUUAACUCAAAAGUAGAUUUGUUUUCUGGAUAUUAUAAUCAAUGAAGCAAGUUACUUUUGAUCUUAACUUGUGCCUUCAAUGUUGAAUUUCAAGGUUCACAAAUAAUGUGUUGACCACGACACAACAGAUAUGGUUGCGCAAGUUAGGUGGUGCAAAGCCUGUUGUGAGUGGAGAUGCUAGUGGUAUGGAUCAUCAGUGCUGGACGUGCAAAGAGAACUACCUCUCAACCUGAACAAUCUAGAGAGAGGUUUGUAUAAUAUUUCAAAGUUAAAUCAACUUUACAAUGUUUACCGGGCUAAUGAGAAAGUUUAUGGAGACAGAUUCAGGCAGCUAAUAAUUCAACCUCUCUACCGAUAAGGUUGAACUAUCAGCUUCUAUCCCCGUGUUUGUGUUUGUGUUAGUGUUCGUGUUUGGAUUGGCUUAAUUUUAAGUGCUAUUGGCUUUUAAGCACUUUGUUAUUUUUGAAGGUGUUUGACAAAGACAAAAAGUGUUUUUAAGUGCUUUUAGCUUUUAGCAAAAAGUCAAUCCAAACACUCCCUAUAUCUGAUUAUGCGGAUGAACCAGAUGAUGACAAGAAGCCCAAGAAACUCUUCCUUACAAUACUAUCAGAGGUUCAAUUCCUGCCAAUGUCAACUUCACGUCGAGCAGUUUUCAGGGUAAUCCAAGAAGAGCCAUUGGCAAGAACACGUCAACUACAGCCACACCUCCUCGAGUUUCUCAGAAGAAAGUAUCUCAAUUCUUAUCUAUCUUGUCUUAUGCAAUUCUUGGCUGAUUAUCAUACUUCUACUCGCAUAAUUGCAUUCAUAGAAUAACAAAGGAGAAAAGAGCAACGCUACUCCAAAGGACAUUUGCAGAAAAUGUUGAAACAAGACCAUUGGUCAGAGUGCUCAAUGAACAUCUCUGCAAAGCACAAUGAUCACAUCAACUUUUGUCAUAUUCCUGCUUUAAGCUCCAACCAAAUUUGUUGGGAAAGGAAGACUGGAAGUGCUUACAAGGCCCCUUGUUGCUUCUACUGUCCAAGCAAUGGCAGUCUUUCCCCUCAUCUUGAUAAUAAAGCCCUUGAAGAAGUAACUUCAACGUACUUUUACUGAAGCAUCUUAUACCCUCUUUCUUUUGUAUAGACAUCUAGAAGAUGUUUUUGUCGCCUGUUUUUUUCAUUAAGGUGACUGCACCUCAAUACAAUUUAGAUCUUGAACAAUUCCCAUGAGAAAUCUGAGAAUAAGGCCAAUAGUUGUUGCA